CCUACGGGAGGCUGCAGUGAGGAAUAUUGGUCAAUGGACGAGAGUCUGAACCAGCCAAGCAGCGUGAAGGAUGACUGCCCUAUGGGUUGUAAACUUCUUUUAUGUGGGAAUAAAAUGUUCCACGUGUGGGAUUUUGUACGUACCAUAUGAAUAAGGAUCGGCUAACUCCGUGCCAGCAGCCGCGGUAAUACGGAGGAUCCGAGCGUUAUCCGGAUUUAGUGGGUUUAAAGGGAGCGUAGGUGGAUUGUUAAGUCAGUUGUGAAAGUUUGCGGGUCAACCGUAAAAUUGCAGUUGAAACUGGCAGUCUUGAGUACAGUAGAGGUAGGCGGAAUUCGUGGUGUAGCGGUGAAAUGCGUAGAUAUCACGAAGAACUCCGAUUGCGAAGGCAGCUCACUGGACUGCAACUGACACUGAGGCUCGAAAGUGUGGGUAUCAAACAGGAUUAGAUACCCGAGUAGUC
rnacentral:rRNA from 1 species